rnacentral:rRNA from 1 species
AUUGAACGCUGGCGGCAGGCCUAACACAUGCAAGUCGAGCGGAUGAAGGGAGCUUGCUCCUGGAUUCAGCGGCGGACGGGUGAGUAAUGCCUAGGAAUCUGCCUGGUAGUGGGGGAUAACGUCCGGUAACGGGCGCUAAUACCGCAUACGUCCUGAGGGAGAAAGUGGGGGAUCUUCGGACCUCACGCUAUCAGAUGAGCCUAGGUCGGAUUAGCUAGUUGGUGGGGUAAAGGCCUACCAAGGCGACGAUCCGUAACUGGUCUGAGAGGAUGAUCAGUCACACUGGAACUGAGACACGGUCCAGACUCCUACGGGAGGCAGCAGUGGGGAAUAUUGGACAAUGGGCGAAAGCCUGAUCCAGCCAUGCCGCGUGUGUGAAGAAGGUCUUCGGAUUGUAAAGCACUUUAAGUUGGGAGGAAGGGCAGUAAGUUAAUACCUUGCUGUUUUGACGUUACCAACAGAAUAAGCACCGGCUAACUUCGUG